rnacentral:rRNA from 1 species
CAGCAGCAGCCGCGGGAAUACGGAGGGGGCUAGCGUUGUUCGGAAUUACUGGGCGUAAAGCGCACGUAGGCGGCUUGGUAAGUUAGAGGUGAAAGCCCGGAGCUCAACUCCGGAAUUGCCUUUAAGACUGCCGAGCUAGCAGGUGAGAGAGGUAAGUGGAAUUCCGAGUGUAGAGGUGAAAUUCGUAGAUAUUCGGAAGAACACCAGUGGCGAAGGCGGCUUACUGGCUCAUACUGGACGCUGAGGUGCGAAAGCGUGGGGAGCAAACAGGAUUAGAUACCCGCGUAGUCCCUGUCUCUUAUAC